AGAGGUGUCCAGGCAAUGGGACCGCCACCUUCACCCCCUUCAGCACCAACUGGAGGCCAGAGCAAGGUGCUCCUCCCUCAGAGGGCUGCGUCCCCAGCCUCCAGUGGGGAGUUGAGCCUCGUUUCAGGUGUCCAGGCAAUGGGCCCGCCACCUUCACCCCCUUCAGCACCAACUGAAGGGCAGAGAAAGGUGCUCCUCCCUCAGAGGGCUGUAUCACCAGCCUCCAGUGGGAGUUGAGCCUCGUUUCAGGUCCCCACCCCGUGAGCGGACAAUACUCACUGAAACGCUCCAGAAGUCCUGUGGCCUGUGUGAAAGGCAAAAGACAAAGAAUAAAAAGAAAUACAGCAUGCAGUGUCACUGUCAAAACAAUUGACAGUGUUGUUGGACAGAGGUUCAACAAAAUAUUGCUAAAUAUGAAUGAAAUACGCAAGAACACUUUUAGGGUAAAUUGGAAACAAGCAAAAAUUCAAUAUGACAGAAAGUACAAACACUUGCAUGGAAUAAAUCACAAAGCAUUGCGUAGUGUCUUCAGUUUUUAUAAACAACAUUUAUAACAUAAUAUACAUUUCAUGGUGCAUUGGGAAAUAAUUAUUAUAGUUUUAUUUGUAUUGUAAGAAUUCAUUCAUGAAAAUUUGUAUGGAACAUUUUACAUUUCAUGGUGCAUUGGGAAAUAAUUAUUAGUUUUAUUUGUAUUAUAAGAAUUAAUUCAUGAAAAUUUGUAUGGAA
rnacentral:misc_RNA from 1 species